rnacentral:rRNA from 1 species
CAUAGCGACUAUCGUGGCAUAUCAAUAAGCGGAGGAAAAGAAACUAACAAGGAUUCCCCUUAGUAACGGCGAGUGAAGCGGGAAGAGCUCAAAUUUGAAAUCUUCAAGGUUUGACCUUGACGAAUUGUAGUUUAAAGAAGUGUUUUCGGUUAGAGGAGUUUAGUAAAGUUCUUUGGAAUAGGACAUCAUAGAGGGUGAGAAUCCCGUAUUUGACCUAUUAUUUUCUAGCUGUGUGAUACACUUUCAAAGAGUCGGAUUGUUUGGGAAUGCAGUCCAAAAUGGGUGGUAAAUUUCAUCUAGAGCUAAAUAUUGGCGAGAGACCGAUAGCGAACAAGUACCGUGAGGGAAAGAUGAAAAGAACUUUGAAAAGAGAGUUAAACAGUACGUGAAAUUGUCAAAAGGGAAGCGUUUGACACCAGUGUUGUUUUCUCGAAAAUCAAUUAAAAAAGGCCGGAUUUUGUGUUGUAUUGACCUUAAAAGCUUUCUUCAGCUCUUUUCUUGUCUUUUUUAAUGCACUUUUCGUUUAACAAGUCAACAUCAGUUUCUUUUGUUGUAAAAGGGUCAUUGGAAGGUGGCUUUCUUUUCGGAGAAAGUGUUUAUAGCCUUUGAUCUCUGCAACCGGAGAGACUGAGGUCUGCAGCGUAGACUCUUCGGGGUUAAAUACAUUUGUGCUAAGCUAUAGCUUUUUAUAGACAACUUGUUGACUAUAUUUAGUCUUGUGGCUUACUCGCUUAUGCUAUUUUACCUACGCUUAGGAUGUUGAUAGUCACAGCGUGUAC